rnacentral:rRNA from 1 species
UACGAAGGGGGCUAGCGUUGCUCGGAAUUACUGGGCGUAAAGCGCACGCAGGUGGCUGAGUCAGUCGAUUGUGAAAGCCCUGGGCUUAACCUGGGAAUUGCAGUCGAUACUACUCAGCUAGAGUAUGGGAGAGGGUAGUGGAAUUCCCGGUGUAGCGGUGUAAUGCGUAGAUAUCGGGAGGAACAUCAGGUGGCGAAGGCGGCUACCUGGCCCAAUACUGACACUCAGGUGCGACAGCGUGGGGAGCAAACAGG